CGGCAGUAAACGGUGCAUGCUGGGUGUGUGCGGAAUCGACCCCGUACGUGCCUGAGUUAACACGUUAAGCAUGCCGCCUGGGGAGUACGGUCGCAAGAUUAAAACUCAAAGAAAUUGACGGGGACCCGCACAAGCGGUGGAGUAUGUGGCUUAAUUCGAUGCAACGCGAAGAACCUUACCAAGGCUUGACAUCCCGUGACCGCCUGUGAAAGCAGGUUUUUUCUUCGGAAACACGGAGACAGGUGCUGCAUGGCCGUCGUCAGCUCGUGUCGUGAGAUGUUUGGUUAAGUCCAGCAACGAGCGCAACCCCUGCUGCCAGUUACCAUCAUUAAGUUGGGGACUCUGGCGGGACUGCCCAGAUCAACUGGGAGGAAGGUGGGGACGACGUCAGGUCAGUAUGGCCCUUAUGCCUUGGGCUGCACACGUACUACAAUGCCCAGUACAGAGGGAAGCAAGCGAGCGAUCGCAAGCAGAUCCCGAAAAGUGGGCCCAGUUCGGAUUGGAGGCUGCAACCCGCCUCCAUGAAGCCGGAAUCGCUAGUAAUGGCGCAUCAGCUACGGCGCCGUGAAUACGUUCCCGGGUCUUGUACACACCGCCCGUCACAUCAUGGAAGCCGGUCGCACCCGAAGUAUCCGGAGCCAACCGAAAGGAGGCAGGGUCCUAAGGCGAGACUGGUAACUGGGAUG
rnacentral:rRNA from 1 species